rnacentral:rRNA from 1 species
GAUGAACGCUGGCGGUGUGCCUAAUACAUGCAAGUCGUACGCAUUCUCGUUUCUGAUUGACGGUGCUUGCACCUAAUUGACGAGACAUUGGAAUGAGUGGCGGACGGGUGAGUAACACGUGGGUAACCUGCCCAGAAGUGGGGGAUAACAUUUGGAACCAGAUGCUAAUACCGCAUAAAAGUCAAAACCACAUGGUUUUGAUUUAAAAGAUGGCCUUUGUGCUAUCACUUCUGGAUGGACCCGCGGCGUAUUAGCUAGUUGGUAAGAUAACGGCUUACCAAGGCAAUGAUACGUAGCCGGACUGAGAGGUUGAUCGGCCACAAUGGGACUGAGACACGGCCCAUACUCCUACGGGAGGCAGCAGUAGGGAAUCUUCCACAAUGGGCGCAAGCCUGAUGGAGCAACACCGCGUGAGUGAAGAAGGGUUUCGGCUCGUAAAACUCUGUUGUUAAAGAAGAACGUAUCUAAGAGUAACUGCUUAGGUAGUGACGGUAUUUAACCAGAAAGCCACGGCUAACUACGUGCCAGCAGCCGCAGUAA